rnacentral:lncRNA from 1 species
CUAAUAAUUCACAAGAACACUGCCAAAUGGAUAUCAUGAUCCUCCUCUUAUGGAUGAAGAGACAGGUUCCAAGGGCAUAUGCCAUACCUUUCUUAGUUGCAGAGCCAGUUCUCAAAUCUACAUCUGCCUUGCAUCAAAGUUACUGGUAUGAAAGUUAUUGAUCAUCAGUUGCUUGGCAUCAAAGUUUCAGCACAUGAGAACAAAAGUACGCCCUUUGAAAAAGUAGCAGUAGAUCAAAAGCACAGAGAUGCUGCUGCAUUUACUUUUACUUCAGGUUUUCUGUAGUGCUUCCACAGCAAGAUGGACGCUGUUUAAAGUAUUGCCAAUGGAAGCUACACUCUGAAUGGAAACAUAUAGGAAGGUGUAAAAAAGCUUUAAGAGACAACUGACAUGCAAUAAACUGUACAUAUUCAAAAAUGUAUAAUUUGAAUGUUUUGACACAUAAACAAUUGUGAAACCAGUACUACAAUCAAGAUAAUAAACACUCAUCACCUCUGAAAAAAAAAAAAAAA